ACAGAUGGUCAGGCGCUCGCUGUGUCAGGAAACUGGCGGGGAGGAAAGUCCGGGCUCCACAGGACACAAUGGUGGGUAACGCCCACCGUCCGCAAGGACAGGGAAAGUGCAACAGAAAGCAAACCGCCCGAACGAUGAGCAAUCAUCGCCAGGCGAGUCCUUCGGGAUUCCCGGGUAAGGGUGAAACGGUGUGGUAAGAGCACACCAGCGGAUCAGGUGACUGGUCCGGCUAGGUAAACCCCAUUGGGAGCAAAGCCAAGCAGAAAGGAGUGGUUUUUCGGAAUCACACGGUUCGGUCCGAACCGUCUGACUUUCGGGUCGGCUGCUUGAGGUGCUGAGCAAUCAGCAUCCCAGAUAAAUGAGCGCUCGCGGCAGUUUGCCGCUGACAGAACCCGGCUUAUCGACCAUCUGUCGCC
rnacentral:RNase_P_RNA from 1 species